UACGGAGGGUGCGAGCGUUGUUCGGAAUUACUGGGCGUAAAGGGCGCGUAGGCGGUUCGUUAAGUCCUGUGUGAAAUCCCCCGGCUCAACUGGGGAACUGCACAGGAAACUAGCGGGCUUGAGUUCGGGAGAGGGAAGCGGAAUUCCGGGUGUAGCGGUGAAAUGCGUAGAUAUCCGGAGGAACACCGGUGGCGAAGGCGGCUUCCUGGACCGACACUGACGCUGAGGCGCGAAAGCUAGGGGAGCAAACGGG
rnacentral:rRNA from 1 species